GAUGAGCACAGCUGCAUAAUCGACAGUGACAGAGAUUGGGAUCAGAUACUGUCACCAUGGACUGAAAGGCAGAGAUGCCAUUCAUGGAUCAGCAGUUGGCAGAUGGGGAAGAAAACGACAGGUAACCAUGCCAUUCUGGAUAAAACAGAGUCAGUACAGCCUAUCUUUGAUGAGAUUCUGCAGUCCUAUAAGUCAGAGGAUACGCCAUUUUCUCAGGGAAAAAAGCCUGAAGAGCACUUCAAAGCAGAACGUUCUCUUUCAGAAGACCCAGCAGAGCACAAGCUUCCAGUUCUGCCAAUUUGCAGAAUAUAAAUAGUGAGUUACCUCAUACAACAAACCAGAAAGUCAUAAAACUGCUUCCAGUUGAAGGAUGUGACUUCCAGAAAGUGCAAAGCAAAAUUUCCCUGCAGACAUCGCUGAAGUGUCUCAGUGUGGGUCCU